rnacentral:rRNA from 1 species
UACGUAGGGUGCGAGCGUUGUCCGGAAUUAUUGGGCGUAAAGAGCUCGUAGGCGGUGUGUCACGUCGGCCGUGAAAACCUGCAGCUUAACUGUGGGCGUGCGGUCGAUACGGGCAUCACUAGAGUUCGGCAGGGGAGACUGGAAUUCCUGGUGUAGCGGUGAAAUGCGCAGAUAUCAGGAGGAACACCGGUGGCGAAGGCGGGUCUCUGGGCCGAUACUGACGCUGAGGCGCGAAAGCUAGGGGAGCAAACGGG